UACUGUUACUAGGGCAUAUUCUCAGUGCUCCUUGGGCAUGAUGACACAUACCUGUAAUCUCAGCACUUGGGAGGCUGAGGCAGGAGGAU
rnacentral:miRNA from 1 species